rnacentral:lncRNA from 1 species
GUGAGUACCUGACUAUGUAAGAGGGUAAAGCAGCUCUCAUGACUUACACAAAGGACAAUUGGGGAACCUGGGAGCAAUAAAUAUACCUGUAACCUGUUAGUAGAUUUAGAAUAAGGAAAGGAAGACAGAGGUCCUAGUUCUCUUCCUGUUCCCAUUUGUUUUUCAAAUUUGUUUUCCAAGUUAUCAUUAAAAUGCUGGAAUCUUUCUGGAGUUUGUUUUACUACCAUUUGGAGAACUCUGUAAUAGGUAGACAGUUUAUUAUUAACUUUUUAAUAGAGAUUAAAAUAGAUUUAAAACUUUAACUUAUCCUCAAAUAUUCAAAAUAUAAAUUAUUAGGGUACUUAACCUUCAAGACUUCAUAAGAUAUUUUUCAUUUAUAUCUAUUCUGACAUAGAUUCUUAAACAUGGCAAGUGGGGGCAGAAUUAGACUAGAAUAGAACUAAUUAGGUAAUUUUCAUUUUAAAAAACUUUAGUAAGUUUUAUUGAGUUACAGUGGUGUACUUUUGCUACAUUUAGUGCAUUUAAUAAAUAAGUUUUAGGAUUAAAUGAAGUCUUCAUAGGAAAUUAUUACCUUACUGGUAACUAUAGGAAAAUUAUAUUUGUGGCAUAAAGAUGUUCAAUUGAUUAGAAUUAAGAUAUUUUUAUAACUACGUUUAACUCUACCAUAAUUACAGUCAUUUUGCUGAUAGUUUCUGCCUUAAUAAACAAUUCUUUCUCAAGUAUGUUUUAGACUGUGGAGGAUUUCUCGUUGUUAGUCUUAGACUUUCAGAUAUAAAGUGUAUAAAGGAGUGCAUUUGUAAGACACCAGCUUGGUCAAAUGAUCACUUUUUUUGUGGGAAGUUUUUUUGUUGUUGCUUUGGUUUUGGUUUGGUUUAAGUUUAAGAAAAAGAAUGAGCUGGGAGGUGGUGACGCACGCCUUUAAUCCUAGCACUGGGGGGGGGGGGGGGGAAGGCAGGCGGAUUUCUGAGUUCAAGGCCAGCCUGGUCUACAAAGUGAGUUCCAGGACAGCCAACUCUGUCUCGGAAAAAAAAACAAACAAAUAAAUAAAACUUAAAAAAUAAAAGAAGAAGAAGAGAAGAAAGAAAACGAAUGAUCAGUGAGCUAGUUUGCUAGGGAAAGUGUAGAACUAACUUUACAAGUUCUCAAGUCCUGGUUGUGGUUCUUAAACUGAGUGUUUUCCCUUAGUACCGACUCAGUAAUUUUACUUGGGUUGAAGCUUUAUUUUUCAAAUGAGUUGACUUUGGACAUCUUUCAGAUCUUUAUGGCCUGGGGGCUAUAUCACUUACUUCCUUAAAUUACAAUCCAGAUGUAUUUAUACAGCCACUGGGACUUUGAAAUACAUUAAACUCAGGUUUUUAACACCAUUUUAUCUUGCAUAGAUUUUUUUUUAUGCCAGUUACAAUAUUUACCAUGGGCUGGAGAGAUGGCUCAGCUCUUAAGAGCACUGACUGCUCUUCCUGAGGUCCUGAGUUCAGUUCCCAGCAACUAUGUGGUGGUUCACAUUAUCUAAAAUGGGAUCUGAUGCCCUCUUCAGUGUGUCUGAAGAAUGACAUACAUUAAAUCAAUCAGUCAAUCAAUCUUUAAAAUUGAUUUUACCAUGCCUACAAUUUCAACGGUGUCUGAGGUAGUACUAAGAUCGAAAUAAUUUGUUCCAGUUUAUAAAUUACUUUUUGAGUAUUGGAGCUAGUUAAUAGAAAUAUCAGUUACAUUUUUGAUGCCCUUGCUAUUUCCCAAGAUUCUUAAGAAAAGCAUGAAAAUUAGAACCAGACAUUUGUAGGUUUUUGUUUGUUUGUCUGUUUUGCUUUGUAUACAGUGGAUGAUGGAAAACUUAAGUCAUUAAUUUAACAUUACCGUGACAAUUCUAAAUUUUAAGGACAUAAUGGAGAAUAAGCAUAUAGUUUGCCUUGAGUGGUAGGCACUUUGAGAGUAAAUAAAUGAUAGUAUAGGAACAUGUUGAAGGAAGAAUUGGUUCUCACUUUCCCUCAUAGGGAAGCUUCUGGAGAUUGAAAUCAGGCUAUCAGCCUUGGCAACAAGCACCUUUAUCUGUGCCUUCUCCUCAGCUCAGUUAUGUUUUCUGUUGCUGUGACCUUCAUGGAGUAUGGACUUAUUUUUGCUCAUGGGUAGAGGACCUAGUUCAUUAUAGUAGGAAAGGCAUGGUUAUGGGAAUGGAAUGUUAGAUAUUUGAUUGUCUCUGCAGUCAGGAAGCAGACAGUGCUGGCUUUCUCCUUGUCACCUUUUAUUCCUUGUUAGUCCCCAGACAGAGGAUAUGAGUUCCAUCUGCUUCAGGGUUGGUCUUUUUCCAUGGUUAAUUUUCUUUGGAAUCAUCUUCAUAAGAAAGCCUUUGGGGUGUAUCUCUCCUAGAAAUAGUAAAUUCAGUUAGGUUGAAAAUGAAGAUUAAUACUCUUUAUGAAGUUGACACCACAUGGCCACAAUACAGCGUGAGUUCUUUCUAUUGUUAUGACAAAAUACCUGAGAUAAUCAGCCUGAGGAGACACAAUUUUAUUUGGCUCAUGGUUUCAAAAGCUUCAGUUUUUGAUCUUUGCCUUAAGUCUGUGGGAAGAACAGACUAUAAUGCAGUCCGUGGUGCGGUAAAGCUGCUUAACUUGGAGUGGAACAAAAAGGGAGAGGAAAGGGCAGGAGAUGUAGUUUUCCUCUUCAUAGGGACAUUCUCUAUUUACAGUUAAUCCGACUAAACUUCCAACUAACUCCUAAAGGUUCUACAACUUCCAGGAGCCUCAUGAACUGGGUGGGGGUUUAAGUCUUCAACAUACAACAGGCUUUAGGAGACAAACCACAAUAGACACAGUUCAUGUAUGCAUCCAUAGGAAUUGAUAACAGAGGGUGUGAUAAGCAAGACAGGAAAGUGUAGCAGAAAUCAAAGAAAGGAAGAUAAGGGUGCUAACAACUUAGGAAGAGAACUCAAAAAGUGAAUUUGAAGUUAUUAAGUUUUAUGGUUAAAAGAACUAUGGGUGGAAACUACUGAUGUUAAUGAACAAUAUAACCACAACACAAUUAGUUAUUUUCUCAUCAUUUCUAGGUCAAUAUAUGCAGAUGAUUCUUUUUGGUCAGUUUUAGCAGGAUCACCUGAAAUCCUUUAUGAGGCUUUAUUAAUGUUUUGGCAUUUCUUUAAGAAAUAUAUUUAUUUGGACUGCUCUGCAAAAACAUUUACAAUUUCCUCUUAUUUAUGUAAAUGUACCUUUAUCUUCCUAGAAAGCAAUUUUACCAUUAUACAGUGAACCUAUGAAUAGAGGCUUUUAAAUAAAUUGUGUGUCUCUGUGUGUAUGUGUGUACAUUGUUUUUUGAAGGAGGGUUUUUGUUUUGUUAUUUUCAUUUUCACAGACAUGGUCUUAUUAUGUAGCUCAGGUUGGCCUUAAACUCACACUGAUCUUCUGUUUCAGUUUCCUGAGUUACAUUAUAGACACACAUUAAUACACUUGAGCUACAUAAAUGUUUCUAGUAUCUUACAUUGAUACGUAUUGAUAAUUUCUGAUGGAGGAAAGAUGAAAAAAUUUAAAUAUAUAUAUUUAUCUGAUCACAGUUUACCCUCCCCAGAAAGACAAUUCUUACUGAACUUUAAUAAUCUGCCAUUUGGAUGCAGUGGCACACACCCUUAAUCUUAAUGCUCAGAAGGCAGAGGCAGGCAGAUCUCUUGAGUUUUAGGCUGACCUUCUCUACAUAGUGAGUUCCAUCUUGUCUCCUCACCUUGCCUCUCCCUCUGC